CAGGGCCUCACUAUGUUGCUAAGACUGGCCUCCAACCCCAGCAAUCCCCUGCCUCAGUCUCUUGAGUCGCUGGGAUUACAGGACCCCCUGUUCUCCAGCAUUUAUUGAGGACCUGUUCUGAGUUGUUCUGGAAAGACAGAGAUGUGUGAGACCCUGUCACCACCCUCGAGUAGCUCAUAUCUAACUGGGAGAAAUAGACAUAAAUAGUUGUAAGAUACUGUGGCCAUGGGAUGCGCAUUCGUGAAACAGGUCUCCUUCAGUUGCGCAGGCUGCCCUUGAACCUGCAAUCCUCCUGCCUUGAACUUGCAAUCUUCCUGCCUCAACCUCCUGAGUAGCUGGGAUUACAGAUGCACAACAUCACACCCUGCCAGUCAAGUUCUUCUUAACACAAGGAAAAAAAAUGCAUUUGUGUAAGUUGCCUAAAUAACUGAUACUGUGCAUGGAUUCUGGCUGUCCAAAAAUCCAGCAGAUGGUUUUGAGAAAAAAAUAUGAACAAAUAAUAAAGGUACCAAAAUGCAGAGUACUUUGAUAGAUGCAAAAUGAGAAGACAGCCAAACAAGGGAGAAAAAAAGGAAAAGAAAUGAAUACAGCAGAGGGAAGCUAUGGAAAGCUUUCGCAUGGCACUCCUUGAUUCUUCCAGUUCUUUCGUCAAGAGCGCAGCCUCCUAGAAUCAGCCAGCUCAGACCUGGAACCCACUUACUUAUUAGGGACAAUGAAAAAAUUACUGGAAGUUUCUGAACCCACCUUCUCCAGAGGGUUCUUCAACUGGGGAUUGAAUUCAGGGGCAUUUAACCACUGAGCCACAUCCCCAGCCUUUUUUUUUUUCCACACAUUAUUUAGAAACAGGGUCUCACUGAGUUGCUUAGGACCUUGCUAAGUUGCAGAGGCUGGCUUUGAACUCCUGAUCCUCCUGCCAAGACACUGGGAUUUCAAUGCUACCGCUCCUGGCUCCCCAAAUAAUUCUUGAGAGAAUGACUUGAGUGACAUAAGGUCAGGAAGUCUCUCACCCUGUGGUAGUGGUGGGUGGAUACAUAGUGAAUACCCCUGAGGGUCUAUGGGACGAUCUUCAGGGUUUUAUUCCUGCAACUCUGUCCCCCCAGUGUCCACCCCAGGGAAGAAGGUUCUGAUGACUUCUCCAGGCCACCCAUGCAAGUUAGGUGAAAGACGAAGGGACACGUCUCAGAACUCCAAACUGCAUCUCCAGCUGUGCUCUGCCCGGGUGGGAGAGAGGGACCGAAGCAGGUGGACAUUCAUAUUUGCACAGUGACUAGCCUACUGCAGUUCAGGAAUGGACACUACCUGGCCUUUGCCUCUGUUGUAAACCUGACUGAAUAGGGAAAAACAAGCACCAGUGUGGGUAUGUUAACACCAAUUGUAGCCUUUUGUCAAUCAGCUUCUUUGCAUCUGGACUUCAAACACGUGUUUACCGCAUUUGUUCAGGUAAAAUAACGCUGGGAGGAGGGUUGAGAUUCCCUGUACUUCCCCAUAUGGUGUCUUGUGAAAUCCACACAGCCCACCAGCAGGGUCUGUAGCUACAAUCUCACCAUCCCAAGUGUACAGGAAAGAUAUUGAUAAGAAGAAACUCACCCCAGCUCCCUCCAUGACAUCCGAAACAGGGCUGACCUUUAUCUAACUACACCCAAGGCUAUUUGCCCAACACUUAGGCAGUAGCUUGGAGAAUCCAGAGUGGUGCCAAGUACCAGGAAGUCCUGUAAAGACAGCUAAAGUACACACAGCAUCGACUUUAUGCACUUAAGUGAAUAUAUUUUAUUCAUAGGCCAUCUUUCAGGGCCUGGCUCUGAGUAUUGGCUUUUUUCUUUUCUUUUCUUUUCUUUUCCUGCAUGAAGCAGAAAGAUAGCAAGAUGUAAGUAUCUGAGAUGUAAGUAAAUCUCAUUGUCUCCCAAUGGUGUUGCCUAACAGCAGUAAUUUAGUUGGGACAUCCUCGCUGGACCACUUGCAACCUAUUUGAUUUGGUCCUCCUGCCUCCAUCUCCCCAACACCUCAUCCAACCACCUUGGCAGGGUCUAGAAUCUUAGUAUGAAGAGAAUAAUUGUUUAGUUCCAGCUGGAAGGAUAAAAAAGAAAAGGUUUAUCAUGAUUCCCAAAACUAGAAAUUAAGAAAUAGGUUUAUAACUCAAGUUUAAGGAAUCUCAGGCCUACCGCAGAUUCAGAUUUGAAUGGAGAAUCCCUUUGUGAAUGAAUUUGACUUGAUAAUUUCCUUGGAAGAAAUUCUUUGAAAAAUAUGCAAGUGUGAUCAAAGAAAAUACAUGUUCUUCUGUUUUCCAUUCCUAGAAAAUAUCAUGGGGGCAGUUCAUUUUGUAUAUAGGAUCAUUGACACAUGAAGGAUUUUUAAAAACUGAGAUCUGAUGCUUACUCUAUCUG